UACGGAGGGGGCGAGCGUUGUCCGGAAUUAUUGGGCGUAAAGGGCGCGCAGGCGGUCUCUUAAGUCUGAUGUGAAAGGCCACGGCUCAACCGUGGGAUGGCAUUGGAAACUGGGGGACUUGAGUGCAGGAGAGGGGAGCGGAAUUCCCGGUGUAGCGGUGAAAUGCGUAGAGAUCGGGAGGAACACCAGUGGCGAAGGCGGCUCUCUGGCCUGUAACUGACGCUGAGGCGCGAAAGCGUGGGGAGCGAACAGG
rnacentral:rRNA from 1 species